GGCCUUGCCUCAUGGCAAAACAUACACUUUAGCAGAAUAGCAAGUAGAUGAUGGCAAUGGGUCAUCCGGUCGAAAAGUUAGGACAUUUAGAAAAGCCAGACAA
rnacentral:ncRNA from 1 species